rnacentral:lncRNA from 1 species
GAAGAAAAAGAAGAAGAAGUGGAAGAGGUAGAAGAAGAGGUGGAAGAGGUAGAGGUAGAUGGAAAUGACGAGGAUGAGGAUUUCAAUUAUGAUGAUGACGAAUUUAUACCUGAGGAAGAAGAUUACACGGACGAAGAGGAAGAAGAAAGAAGUGGGCGGAAGAAGAAAAAGGAGGAUUUUAGUUAUGAAGAUGAAGAAUUUAUACCGAUGGAAGAAGAAAGAAGGGGCAGGAAGAAGAAAAAGGAGGAUUUCAAUUAUGAAGACGAGGAAUUUAUACCGACUGAAGAAGAUUACACAGAUGAGGAGGAAGAAGAAACGAGGGGUAUAACGAAGAAAAACAAUGGCAUUCAAAUGGGAAAGAAGAAGACUUUGAAGAAAAGGGUUUCUGCAACUUCUAGCAGAGGUCGAAAAAGGAGUCGCUCUAGAGUUUCAAAGAAGACCAAGAGAAAGAGAAGAGGAAAG